CUCAACGUGUUCGCACGUGCCGCACGGAUCUCGCAGCAGCUAAAGCCAUCAACUCAACUCAGUUCCACACCAAUCAGCACUUCAGUCGCAUCGUAUCAUCCCAAAACUCUGACCGCACAGUGAAAGUGAAAGUGUAUAGGACAACUGAACCGAAAAUUGAAACUGAAUCAGAAACAGAAACCGAAAACCGAACAGUGUGUGUGUGAAGUAGUAGGGGAGUUUCGUAUCAGAGGAUUGGAAACAUUUCAGCAUAAGACUUUUUGUUGCAAAUCAGUGUUUUUGUGUUCGCGCUUCGUCCUCAGUUGCCAUCCCUCAUGAACUUUAACCAACUCAAUCAACAAGCUGCACAACUAAGGUUGCAAGAAUAUUUACCAUCUAAAAAUCAUCUAUAUUAAAGUUAUAUUACAAUUUAACAAGUAUCCGUCGGCGAUAAACAUUUUUUUUUAGUUUUUUUGUACAUUUUUUUUAACGUUUUGAAAGAAAAAACCAAAAAUAGUUAGUGUUUAUGUGUACAAAACAUUUGGUGCAAUCCAAAGAAUACAAUCGAAAGAAUCGAAUCCGUUAUGAGGGCAAGUUGGAACCCGAAACCGUGUGAAUUUCGACUGAAUUUAAGUAAAAUACCAAAGCGAGCAUUACCGAACACUUUGGCAUUACGUACUUAGAGUCGAACCGAGACAGGAUUUCGGGAUUCAAGAUACUGGACACCUCGGACCACUGGAGUGGUCGAUCGAUUGCUAAAGGAACCAUGCCGCUGGCGUUGCAGGAGUUGCAGCUCGUGUCCGCUGGCACGCCCCCGCCCCACUAGAGGUUGAGCCCAUUCGAUUGGCGGCGGGGAACCAUUAGCGGGACCAGCAGCAUUAUGGCAGCCCAGCCAUUGAGCAGCACGGCGGCAACAUCCGCGGCAACAACUGCGGCAACAACUGCGGCAACAUCGGCGACCCUAACCACGU